CCGUGGGACCAACCGGACCAACCCAUUACAUGAGCUUAAAAGCUCAUUUCUUUCUUCCAAUGCAGCAGAAGCACAACGUAACAGGGGGAGGGAGAAGAGAAAUGUACCGAAACCCCUGCGUCAACUCCCGAACGCCGUAACUUCUUCGUCCGAGCUCCGAUCGCCGCACCGUUUGCGGCCACGCGUCCACCUCGUCGAGCUCUACAUUUCUACCGGAACAAUUUCUUUGGAUCUAAUUAACUUGAGGAAAAUAUUUACUCUUGCUUAUGUGAAGCUUGGGUAAGGUUGUGAAUAAAUAAUUGGAGCUCGAAAUUGUGAAUACUGGAACUUGGAGGAAGCGGAUUAGUUGAGGUUUUGAGGGCUGUGUUCUUUAGAAAAAAUUAUCUUGGAAUAAUACUUGGGAAUCGGCUAAGUGAUGCAGGCUAAAAACAAGUGUUGCAGCAGCCAAACAUCAAACAAAAGAUAUAUGCUAAUGGGCUGAAUGGUAAGUGAAAAUAAAGACAAGCCCGAGUCAUUCAUCUCAAGCAAAAAUUCUUCAAAGAAGCAAGGCAAGGCACCAACGGGUUGUUUAAUGGAAAACCAAUCCAAGCCCGUAUCCAUCCCACAAAGCUUCUCUUGUAAGAUUGAAGUCUUCUUUCUUUCAAAGUGCAACAUUCAUCUCUAUAUGACCAAGUCAAAUCAGCCUCAGAAAAGUAAGAAAGAGAAAGAGAGAAAGAGCUUCUUCACCAAGAUAGUCACCAAAGAAGCAAGAAAGAGAAACUAAGCUUGAAAGGCAGAAGUCAUCUCAAUAAAUCCAAACCAAAUCAAGCUUAGGUUAUAGGUAAAUAUUUUCCUCAUACAUGCAACUCGGUUACAUCUCUUCUUCCCAACUCUCUGCUCUAUUCGAAAUGGGAUACAAGG